GAUGAACGCUGGCGGCGUGUCUAAGGCAUGCAAGUCGAACGGACUGUUAUUCGUAGCAAUACUUAGAACAGUUAGUGGCAAACGGGUGCGUAACACAUUGGUAACCUGCCUCAAAGUCGGGCAUAAUCCCGCGAAAGUGGGACUAAUUCCACGAUAGUCAUCGAAGGUGAGAUUCCUUCGAUGUAAAGUCGCAAGACGCUUUGAGAGGGGCCUAUGGCCUAUCAGCUUGUUGGUGAGGUAACGGCUCACCAAGGCUAUGACGGGUAGGGGUGUGAGAGCACGACCCCCCUCCACGUCGGACGUGAGACACUCG
rnacentral:rRNA from 1 species